CUGAACAAAACAUUCCGGAAGGAAUGGUGACGUGAAAGUGCGACGAGUCGUGGACAUGUCUCGGUUGUAUAGUUUCGUAAACAGAACACUUGGCGAUUGAAUCCAUCACUUGCCGUACAGUGAAGUGUCUGAUGACGAGGGUAAAUACUCUACAUAUUCGUUUAUUCGUGUUAAAGUAUGUGUCGCCGUUCAUCUCCAUGAUGUAUAAUACAGCACAGAUCAUCAUCCUGUUGUGUUAUUGGCUGCUACCCUAGCCAUGUUGACGGUGCUAUGCUAGCUAGCUUAGCUAGCUAAUGUUAGCGGAGUUUGCCAGAAGCAGUCGAGUUGCCUGUGAAAUUGUCUGAAAUUGUAGCCAACUAGCUACAAGAGUAUUAACAAUAUGCGAUGUUUGUCAUUUUCUUAAACCUAUAUGGAGUUGCUGACAUAUGAAGUACCCAUAGAUAUUUGUCCACUGUGUGGGAAAGGAGUUGGACGAAAGAGGUUAGUUACCUGUUUGGGCUAGUAGUAAAAGCAAUAGCGACCAACUCUGACACGCAGCGGCUGAAGGAAUUUAUCACGUGCGUCUGCUGUGUGCUAUUGAAUUACGAAUUGAAUGCUCCAAAAAGGGAUGCGUUUUGAUACCUUCUCGGCUAGGUAGUUGGUUAAGUGCCAAACUAGCCAAAGUUCUAUCAAGGUUUACUGUUUCAAAUUGGAGUCAAUUGAAGAGUUGACAGACCCCGAAAACCGCAUCGAGGUACCAACAUCAGCCAGCGUCCUGUCUUGCGGUCAAAUGGGACGGUGACGAAAAUGCUGAAGAUUCUUCUUAUCCUAUCAACAUUAGGCUGCAUCAAUGUCACAUUGGAUGGAGUCGAUGCUGCUGUUUUUUCUGCAGAUGGGAUACCUAUCCGUCUAGCCAACGGCUACGACAAUUGUUCAGGGAGAGUGGAGAUUCUUUUUCGAAACAAGUGGUGGACAGUGUGUGACCAUGGUUGGGACUUGAGGGUGUCUGAUGUGGUGUGCCUGGAGCUGGGCUGUGGUCUGGCUGAGCUUGCCUUGCGUGGCUCUGCGUUUGGCAUGGGCAGUGGGGAUAUAUGGCAAUCACUUGUCCAGUGUUCAGGUCACGAGGCAAGCAUAAAUCACUGUCCCAGAAUCUACCAGUCCUCUCUCUGCACCCAUGGCAACAACGCAGGGGUGAAGUGCUCAGGUGCACUCCUGGUGCCCAACCUGUCACUGCUGUCCCCACACACCGUGUUCUCCGCUGGGGAGGCGGUUCGAUUCAGCUGCGCCGUCCAGCGAGGCCACCAUGUCAGCGACUUCCACCUGUUCAAGAAGGGCGCAGCCACCCCGCUGGUGACUCAGAGGGUGGACUCCAGCCAGAUCCAGGCUGAACUGACGCUGUCAGACGUGGAGACGUUCCACCAGGGCAGCUACAGUUGCGUCUAUAGGAUGAAGGGCACUUCCCCCUCUCAGCUCCUCAGCUCCCCGCCUAGCAACUAUGUCAACAUCACCGUGGUGGAGCUCCUCACCCCUCACCACUGGUAUAACACCUCGAUCGAGGCUCCGGCAGGCUCUGUCAUUAGAGGCCACAAUUUCAGUAUCACCUGCUCCACCCAGCCACAGUACCCAGGGGGGUCAUUCCAAUUGCGCCUCAUCCGUUCCAAUGGGACGGUGCGUCAGUCUCUGCCUGCCCUCAGCCCCUCGGUCACCUUCACCUUUCCCAGCGCCCAGAGCUCCAACGAGGGCUACUACUACUGCCUGUACCGGGUGCAGCUGGGGGGGCGCACUUUUGUCUCCCGGGAGAGCCAACCCCUGCCUAUAUCUGUCAGAGACCCAGACCCAGUGAUGAGUCCCAUGGUGAUCAGCUGGCUAGUGUCUGCUCUGACGUUUGUGGUGGCCUUAGUGAUCAUCAUCAUCGUGGCUAGAAUGCUAUGCAAGAGGGAGAAAAAGACCUCUGAACUAGAGAGAGAGACCAGAACUUGUGUGGAUAACACGUAUGUUGCCUUAGCAAUAAAAUGAUGGGAUGCGCAGACAUCAUCGAUUCCCAAAGGUAUGGAAGUAAUGUCAAGGAGCCCUCAGAACUGGUUCUGAACCCAGCGGGGAUUGGUGAAGAAAUUAAGUACCAAAGCACCUUACUUAGUCACUCACCAUCUUGCUAUUAGGUCUUUCAUUAGAACUCAACAACACUAGGUAUAUAUUGUAGGUAUUUCAGGACACCAUCAACAACACUACUCCUAAAGACAAGAACUGUAAACAGCGUUUGCCUUUUAGCACCAGUUUCUUAAUUAGCAUCAGCAACCGGACAAGACUGGACAUUAAUGACCAAGCACUGUAUUCUAAAGUAAAAAUUAAGUGUUAAAUUAUAUGAGACUGGCAUUCAGUGAAAACCAUUUAUUGACUCAAGUCAGCUCUGGACUGUCCACUCAGGCUUGGUAACAGGGUGAUACUUGUGUUCAGAUAGCUUGACUGUCAAACUGGUUUUUCUCAGAUCUCUUUGUGAAUAGCCUGUAAACAGUAUUUAUUAGUUAUUCCCUUUUUUGUAUUUAUAACAACACUAUUGGGAUGCAUAUCUACGUGCAACAAUAGUAUACAUGGCAAAUGGAACAAAUGUUUUGUAUAUUUUUGCAGUAGACGACAUGCAUCAAGCUGAUAAGUACAAUGCCCUGUCUGCUUGUAGUUACCAUGUUUGUCUUUUAUUAUUUAGAGUUUGUCGGAUAGGAUUUUAUAUUUCACUUGGUUAUUGAACUAUACAUGUAAAAUACACUUGUAGUGCUGUAAUGUUUAGUUGACACAGCUAAAAACACAUUUCAAAUAAAAGAAACACCUCAAAGCUGUUCUUCAAAAACCUGUUUUUGUGAUUUUAUUAAAAGCAUACAUCGCAAUCAAUUUAUUGCCCACAAGUUCUAAGUAAUAAAAUGAUCGAUUUGGAAUUUAUAUAAAAAAA